AAAGGGACUUUCCCAAGGUAGCUGCUUCCAGCAAUGGCCAGAUCUGGGAUAAUAAUGGUCUUGCUAAUGAGGGUCUCUAAUGUUUAUAGUUUGGGGUAUUUCUGCUUGUUUUUUUAUGCCCCCCCCCCCGCACUUUUUAGGGCAGAACCUGUGGCAAAUGGAAGUUCCCAGGCUUGGGGUGGAAUCAGCUGCAGCUGCCGGCCACAGCCACAGCCCCAGCAACGCCAGUUCCAAGCCAAGUCUGUGACCUACACCACAGCUCCUGGCAAUGAUGAAUCCUAAACCCACUGAGUGAGGCUAAGAUCAGACCUGAAUCUUCAUGGAUACUAGUUGGGUUUCCACUGAGCCACAGUGGGAACUCCAUUUUUGUAGUUAUUGUUUGUUUUAACUUUUGCCUCAUUUAAUGCUUACCUGAACCAGACCAUGGAGAUAUUAGUUUUUGCCUCCCCCCUUUUUUAAUUACUCAAAUGAAUUUAUCACAUCUGUAGUUGUAUAAUGAUCAUAACAAUCUGAUUUCACAGGAUUUCCAUCCCACAGCCCAAGCACAUCCCCCCACCUCCCAAACUGUCUCCUCCGGAGACCAUAAGUUUUUCAAUGUCUAUGAGUCAGCAUCUGUUCUGCAAAGAAGUUCCGUCUGUCCUUUUUUCAGAUUCUGCACGUCAGUGAAAGCAUUUGAUGUUGGUAUCUCAUUGUAUGGCUGACUUCACUUAGCAUGAUAAUUUCUAGGUCCAUCCAUGUUGCUAAAAAUGCCGGUAUUUUGUUCCUUUUAAUGGCUGAGUAAUAUUCCAUUGUGUAUAUGUACCACAUCUUCUUGAUCCACUCCUUUGUCGAUGGACACUUAGGUUGUUUCCAUGUCUUGGCUGUUGCAAAUAGUGCUGCAAUGAACACUGGAGUACAUGUGUCUUUGCGAGGCAUGGUUUUCUCUGGAUAGAUGCCCAGGAGUGGGAUUGCUGGAUCAAAUGGUAGUUCUAUGUUUAGUUUUCUGAGGAAUCUCCAUACUGCUUUCCACAGUGGUCGCACCAAUUUACAAUCCCACCAACAGUGUAAUAGGUUCCUUUUUCUCCACAAUCUCUCCAGCAUUUAUUGUUCAUAGACUUUUGGAUGAUGGCCAUUCUGGCUGGUGUAAGGUGGUACCUCAUCGUGGUUUUGAUUUGCAUUUCUCUGAUAAUGAGUUAUGUUGAACAUCUUUUCAUGUGUUUUUUGGCCAUCUGUAUGUCUUCUUUGGAGAACUGUCUGUUUAGAUCUUCUGCCCAUUUUUUGACGGGGUUGUUUGUUUUUUUUGGUAUGGAGCUGCAGAAGGUGUUUAUAAAUUUUGGAGAUUAAUCCCUUGUCAGUUGAUUCACUUGCAAAGAUUUUCUCCCAUUCUGUGGGUUGUCUUUUUGUUUUGUUUAGGGUUUCCUUUGCUGUGCAGAAACUUUUAAGUUUGAUUAGGUCCCAUUGUUUAUUUUUGUUUUUAUUGUCAAUACUCUAGGAGGUGGAUCUGAGAAGAUGUUGCUGUCGUUUAUGUCAGAGAGUGUUUGGCCUAUGUUUUCCUCUAAGAGUUUGAUAGUAUCUGGUCUAUAUCUAGGUCUUUGAUCCAUUUGGAGUUAUUUUAUUUUAUUUUAUUUUUUGUCUUUUUGCCAUUUCUUGGGCCGCUCCUGCGGCAUAUGGAGGUUCCCAGGCUAGGAGUCUAAUCGGAGCUAUAGCUGCCAGCCUAUGCCAGAGCCACAGCAACGCAGGAUCCGAGCUGUGUCUGCGACCUACACCACAGCUCACAGCAACGCCGGAUCAUUAACCCACUGAGCAAGGGCAGGGAUCAAACCCACAAUCUCAUGGUUCCUAGUCGGAUUCGUUAACCACUGUGCCAUGAUGGGAACUCUCCUGGAGUUUAUUUUUGUGCCUGGUGUUAGGAAGUGUUCUAAUUUCAUUCUUUUCCAUGUGGCUGUCCAGUUUUCCCAGCACCACUUAUUGAACAAACUGUGCUUUCUCCAUUGUAUAGUCUUGCCUCUUUUGUCAUAGAUUAGUUGGCUGUAGGUGUGUGGUUUUAAUUCUGGGCUUUCUAUCUUGUUCCACUGAUCUAUAUUUCUGUCUUUGUGCCAGUACCAUAUGGUUUUGAUGAUUGUUGCUUUGUAGUAUAGUCUGAAGUCCGGGAGCCUGAUUCCUCCAGCUCCAUUUUUCUUUUUCAGGAUGUCUUUGGCUAUUCUGGGUCUUUUGUGCUUCCAAACAAACUUUAGAACAUUUUGUUCGAGUUCUGUGAAAAAUGUCCUUGGUAAUUUAAUAGGGAUUGCAUUGAAUCUGUAGAUUGCCUUAGGUAGUAUAGUCAUUUUGAUAAUAUUAACUCUUCCAGUCCACAAGCAUGGUAUAUCUUUCCAACUAUUUGUGUCAUCUUUGAUUUCUUUCAUCAGUGUCUUAUAGUUUUCAGAGUACAGGUCUUUUGUCUCUUUAGGUAGGUUUACUCCUAGGUAUUUUAUUCUUUUGGAUGCGAAUGUAAACUGGAUUGCUUCCAUAAUUCUCUUUCUGAUCUUUCAUUGUUAGUGUAUAGAAGUGCCAUCGAUUUCUGUGUAUUAAUUUUCUAUCCUGUGACUUUGCCAAAUUAAUGGAUGAGCUCUAACAGCUUUCUGGUAGUGUCUUUAGGAUUCUCUAGGUAUAGUAUCAUGUCAUCUGCAAAUAGUGAUAGUUUUACUUCUUCCUUUCCAAUUUGGAUUCCUUUUAUUUCUUUUACUUGUCUGAUUGCUGUGGCUAGGACUUCCAAAACUAUGUUGAAGAGUAGUGGCGAGAGCGGACAUCCUUGUCUUGUUUCUGAUCUCAGCAGGAAUUCUUUCAGCUUUUCACCAUUGAGAAUGAUGUUUGCUGUGGGUCUGUCAUAUAUGGCCUUUAUCAUGUUGAGGUAGGUUCCCACUAUGCCCACUUUCUGAAGGGUUUUUAUCAGAAACGAGUGUUGGAUUCUGUCAAAGGCUUUUUCCACGUCUAUUGAGAGGAUCAUAUGGUUUUUAUUCUUCAGUUUGUUAAUAUGGUGUAUCACACUGAUGGAUUUGUGGAUAUUGAAGAACCCUUGCAUCCCUGGGAUAAAUCCCACUUGAUCAUGAUGUACAAUCCUUUUAAUGUUUUGUUGGAUGUGGUUUGCUAGUAUUUUGUUGAGGAUUUUUGCAUCUAUGUUCAUCAGUGAAAUUGGCCUGUAGUUUUUUUUUUUUUGAGGUAUCUUUGUCUGGUUUUGGUGUCAGGGUGAUGGUGGCCUCAUAAAAUGAGUUUGGGAGUAUCCCUUCCUCUGCAAUUUUUUGAAAUAGUUUCAGGAGGAGAGGUGUUAGCUCUUCUCUAGAUGUUUGAUAGAAUUCGCCUGUGAAGCCAUCUGGUCCUGGACUUCUGUUUGUUGGAAGUUUUUAAAUCACAGUUUCAAUUUCAGUUCUUAUGAUUGGUCCAUUCAUCUUUUCUAUUUCCUCUUGGUUUAGUCUUGGAAGAUUGUAUUUUUCUAAGACUUUGUCCAUUUCUUCUAGGUUUUCUGUUUUAUUGGCAUAUAGUUGCAUAUAGUAGUCUCUUAUGAUCCUUUGUACUUCUGUGAUGUCCAUUGUUACUUCUCCUUUUUCAUUUCUAAUUUUAUUUUUUUUAAUUUUUAUUUUUUUUUGUUUUUUUGUUGUUGUUGUUGUUGUCGUUGUUGCUAUUUCUUGGGCCGCUCCCGUGGCAUAUAGAGGUUCCCAGGCUAGGGGUUGAAUCGGAGCUGUAGCCACUGGCCUACGCCAGAGCCACAGCAACGCGGGAUCCGAGCCGCGUCUGCAACCUACACCACAGCUCACGGCAACGCCGGAUCGUUAACCCACUGAGCAAGGGCAGGGACCGAACCCGCAACCUCAUGGUUCCUAGUCGGAUUCGUUAACCACUGCGCCACGACGGGAACUCCUCUAAUUUUAUUUUAUUUUUUUUGUCUUUUUGCCUUUUCUAGGGCCGCUCCCACAGCAUAUGGAGGUUCCCAGGCUAGGGGUCUAAUCGGAGCUAUAGCUGCCAGGCUAUGCCAGAGCCACAGCAACGCAGGAUCUGAACCACAUCUGCAACCUACACCACAGCUCACAGCAACGCUGGAUUGUUAACCCACUGAGCAAGGCCAGGGAUCGAACCCACAACCUCAUGGUUCCUAGUUGGAUUUGUUAACCACUGCACCAUGACGGGAACUCUAAGAUUUUUCUCUUUGUUUUUAAUUUGGUCAGUUUGAUUAAUAUGUGUCUCGGUGUAUUCCUCCUUGGGUUUAUUUUAUAUGGUACUCCUUAUGCUUCCUGGAUUUGAAUGAGUGGUUCUUUUCCCACGUUGGGGAAGUUUUAGGCCAUUAUCUCUUGGAAUAUUUUUUCUGACCCUUCUCUCUCUCUUCUCCUUCUGGCACCCCUAUAAUACGGAUGUUGGUGCAUUUAACAUUGUCUCAGAGUUCUCUGAGACUCUCUUCAUUUGUUUUCAAUCUUUUUUCUCUUUUCUGUUCUGCGUUUGUAAUUUCUACUAAUCUGUCCACCAUCUUGCUUAUUCAUUCUUUUGCAGCCUGUAUUCUGCUGUUAGCUGCUUCUAGUGAAUAUUUUACUUCAGUUAUUAUAUUUUGCAUCUCUUCUUAAGUUUUAUAUCUUGUAUCUCUUUUCUCAGUGUUUCCUGUAAGUUAUCCAUCUUUGCCUCCAGUUUAUUCCCAAUGUCUUGCAUCAUCUUCAGCAUCAACAGUCUAAAGUCUUUUUCAUGGAGGCUGAGAACUUCUUCAUCACUUAGCUGAUUUUCUGGGGUUUUUCCUUUCUCCCUCAUCACUUAGCUGAUUUUCUGGGGUUUUUCCUUUCUCCCUCAUCUGAGUUAUAGUUCUCUGUCUUUUCACUUUUAUAGGUUUUUGGUGUGGUGACCUUUUUAUAGAUAAUAGAGCUGUAGCCUCUCUUACUUCUGGUGUCUGCCCCCCUUGUGGCUGAAGUCGGUAUGGGGGGCCUGCUGUAGGCUUCCUGAUGGGAGGGGCUGAGGCCCACCCACUGGUAGGUGAAGCUGAUUCCUAUCCCUCUGGUGGGUGGGGCUUAGUCUCUGGAUGGGAUUAGAGGCGGCUAUGUGCCUUCCGGGUCUUUAGGCAGCCUGUUUACUGAGGGGCCAGGCUGUGAUCCCACCUGGAUUGUUGUUUGCCCUGGGGCUUCAAAUCUGGGUGGGGCCAGAUUUUCCCAAAAUGGCCACCUCCAGAGAAAGGCACAUUGAUGAAUAUUCCCGAGAGCUUUGCUUCCAAUGUCCUUCCGUCACAACAAGCCACAUUCACCCCUGUUUUCCCAGGAUGUCCUCUAAGAAUUGCAGUCAGCUUUGACCCAGAUUCCUGUGGAGACCUCACUCUGCCCUGGGACCCAGUGCAUGUGAAAGUCUGUGUGCGCCUUUUAAGAAAGGGGUCUCCAUUUCCCCCAGUCCCGUGGAGCUUCUGCAUGCAAGCCCCACUGGCCUUCAAUGCCAGAUGCUCCAGGAGCUCUUUCUCCCAGUGCCAGAUCCCCGCACAUGGGAGUUAGAUGUGGGGCUCAGAACUCUCACUCCUGUAGGUGAGUCUCUGUGAACCAGUUAGUUUCCAGUCUGUGGGGCUUCCCACCCAGGAGGUAUGGGGUUGUUUAUAUCACGUAAUCGCCCCUCCUACCUCUUGAUGUGGCCUCCUCUUUUUCUUCUGGAGUAGGAUAUCUUUUUUAAGGUUUCUGGUCCAUUUGGUUGAAGAUUGCUCAGCCUUUAGUUGUGAAUUUUGUUGUUUUUAGGAGAGAAGUUGAGCUCCAGUCCUUCUAUUCCACCAUCUUAAUUCCAUCAGUUUUUGCCCCUUCUGAUGAUAUGACCCCACUCAACCAGAGAUGGCAAAAGAACAGAAACCCAGGGCGGGGGUGUUUCACCCUGGAGCCAUGCCCCUAAACCCAGUGAUCUCUGCCUUUAGUCAGGAAGCCCAACAUUGCCUGACUUUGAAACCCCAGUAGCUUCUACCAUCCCACACCGUGCCUGGGUCAAAUUCACCCUUCACAAGGGCAAAGGGGAAAUUACUAAGGAACUGAAAAUCGUCUGUCUUCAAAGGCAAUAUAAUAGAGCUGUCAGCUGGGAGACACAAGGCCUUAUUCCCAGCUCCUACUCCCCUUUCCUGCUUCUUUCCCUGCAGAGAAGGAUCCCAGAAAACUAACCCCUUGGAGUUCAUGCUUAGGUUGGUAGCACAGACAAGACCCUCUGCUGCAGUGUGUGGUCCCCAGCAACCAUGUGGGAGAAGCCGUGUUCCUAAGAUGGGAAGAAAGAAAGCUGAGCUGGGUGCUGAGGCAGUGUGCCCCUGGCCUGGAGUCUCAGCUCUGAUGCUAUCACUGUGGCAACUCCUGUAGGCUGGAUGGAGGAACGGUGAGAACAGGCAGGAGGUGGGAAAACAGCAUCAGAGGGUUCCUGCCUGCUGCCAUGCCCUGCCGCCCCCAUCUGCCCCCCGUCCGGCACAGGGGUUGAUGCUUGGUAAGUGCAUAGAUGAUACUAGCAACAGCAUCAUCAUCAUGCUACUCACAACAAGUAAAUGUACUGAGUACUUAAUUCAGUGCUAAACACGGCAAAAACUCCUAUCAGAAACAGAUAUGUAUAGACCCCAACUCCCAAAGACAGUGGAGCUCCUCUCUUCAUGUGUAAU
rnacentral:lncRNA from 9 species